ACCUGGCGCGGCGGCGCGGAACCCGCCAGCCCCGCGCGCUGCCUCCGUCCCCGCCCCGAGCAGCCCCGCGCGGCGACCCUCCCCGGGCGGCGGCGCGCCCCAGGCCCCCCGGACACGCAGGGACCGCCGAGCUCACCGCGUCCGCCGCCCGCUCACCCGGAGACCUCCGCCCUGCGCCCGAUCCUUCCUCCGAGACCCUCGUCUGUCUGUCUGUCUGUCUGUCUCCCUCUCUCCCCCCUCCGUGCAAAAUGCCUCCCUCCGAGUGCUGGGAACCUGGCCGCCCGCAGCAGCUCCCCAUCCCGGGGCGCGCGUGUCGGGCUGCGCGCCCAGGGCGCUCCGAGCCCCGGUGCCCAUCCCAAGGCGGCAGCCCGCCCCGAAGUGCCUGCCGCGGGCGACAGCGGCGCCGCCGCCUGCAGCUCCCGAGCCAGAGGGGGCCCGCUCGCCUCCGGGAGGCGCCCGCCGAGCCUCGGCUUCGUCCCGCGAGCCCCAGCCCUUUACCUGAGUGGCGGCCUCGGCCGGGGCUCCGGGGCGCGGCUCCGGGCGCAGAGCCCCGGGCGAGCCGGGCCGGGGGUGCGGGGAGGACCGCGGCCGCCGCUCUCCCCUGCCGCUCCGGGCCUGCCGGGCGCUAUUUAUCCGGGGGCCCGGCCCGGCCCGGCCCCGGCCCCGGCCCCUGCCAGGGUAUUGGGCAAUCGGUCCGCUACGCGCGGCCCCGGGAGCCGCCGCCCUCCGCCCCCGCCGAGCCCCGCCGAGCCCCGCGUGCAGGCAGAGCCGGGCCGGCCCGCGCCGGGGCGCCAGCUUCCCUUCCCUUCCCGCACCUCCUUCCCGCGAACUUCUUCCCCGCCGCUCCCCCCGUCUCCCUCCUUUGCGGGGCACCCCGGCCAGUCUGAACCGGUUGUGACUGCGCGGGUGGCGGGGGAAGGAGGAGAGGCGGCGGAGAUGGAGGCGGAGAAGCCGGCGGUAGGGGCGCUGCUCCUGCUCUCGCGGCUCCGGCGCGGGUCCGGCCGGCGGGGGCGGGGGGGGCACCCCGAGGCCGCGGUGCUCGGGGCCCCCGAAAGGCCUCGGGAGAGCCGGCGGCGCGGGCCGGGCGCCCAACACGCGCGCGCCCCCGCCCCCGCCCCCCGCGCGCCCCCCGCGCGCCCCCCGAGACCCGCGGCGUCGGGGGAGCCGGGUCUAGAGGUGAGGGCCAGGCGCCCCCGCUCCCCCGGGCCCCCGGGGCCGCCGGGCGCCCUUCUGGCCGGAGCUGCAUCCCCAGCUGGCGGGGAUCCCAGGGAACCGGGCACCAGAACUCGGCGGAGUCGGUGCUCCUGGGCAGCGAGGAGCGCGGACGCCAAGUGCUGUCCUUUGUGA
rnacentral:lncRNA from 12 species